rnacentral:lncRNA from 1 species
AUGCACCAUCAAGACUCAGCUUCAUUUGGGUGAUAAUUUGAGAUGAGUUUUUAAAAAUUCAGCUGGAUGAUCCAUUUGGAUGUAACAUUAUAAUGCACAAAGCGAACAUCGAUUUGCAUCUUCACCCAGAUGGAUCAUCUGGGUGAGCAAACGAACAUGGCCAUUGUUUUGUUUCAACUAAAAAUUCAAAGUUUACAGAUUUUUUUUUUUUUUUUUGAAACACUCAAAGUUUACAGAUUACAACAUAUAAACUUCACACUUAACAGAAAAUUUCCAUAAAUUACUCUUUUCCUUCUUGGACAACCAGGACCUGUCCAUAAUCAAAACAAAGCCUAUAUCAAACAAAUUAUAAACUGAUAUAAAACAUAACCAAAACACUAGAUACCAUUAUUCCAUCAAACAUAUCAAUCUUUUGAUAUUGAAGACUCCACUCCAAAACUACUUUUUCUUUCUAACAUCCUCAUUUUCAUCAAAAAGGUCUUCAGUGGUGGAAUAAUGAAACAAAGUGGGUAUUAAUGCAACAACAGACGGCAACACCAUUACAAGUUAGUAAUAAAUAAACGUUUCCCUUAGUGGUGUUCCAAAAAAAAAAAUGUUCCAAAAAAAAUUGUUUCCUUUAGUGUAUAAAACUAGCUUAAGACAUACAGACUCAUACACUUUAGUAAUGGAAAAGUAUUUGUCUUUAUGAUUUUAACGUCAUACACAAACAUGCGUGACGUUGUAAGUCAUGAACCCAAAAGUCAACAACUUGUAAGUUGUAACAAAGAAUUGAAACUUGAGCGCAGUAUAACAAGAGAGACACAAAACCAAAAUGGAAACGAAUUAAACACAAGCAACGACAUCAUGUUCAACAAACAAACAAAUGCAACUCUUGGAAAAAAAAUCAGACAGAUGAGUUUACUGGGAGUUUACUAUCUAUCUACUUUAUCCUUUCUGAUGAGUUUACUGCUUUCAACAGGGCUGGUGCUUGUAAAAAUCUCUUGAAGAAGAGGCUAGGCCUGUAAAACAUUUAAAAUGAGUAUACGAGUUAAAACAUAAACUCUGAACUUCACCAAUGAAAAAAUGCCAAUGAUGAAAAAAAUAAAAUUACAGAACACAAAAGAAAGAUCAUUCCUUUUCUUAUCCCCAAUUUGAAAAUGCAUCUCCAGAAAAUAAAUAUAAGCUUUUUCAGUGUCACUGACCAAGCAAAACUAACAAACUACAAGCCGACAGGAUCUAAAAACCCAUAGGCCUAACUCGAUGUAAAGACAGAGCAAGGAUCCAUUUUUAAACAAACCCACAAAUUAAUUGAAAGAACAGUAACAAAAUCAGUUUGAAACAGCAAUUUCGGUAAUAAUUUUUUUUUUAAAACAAAACUUGACUGUAUCUAAGAUGCGAGGAAAAGAGAGUGAAGAAGAAGAAGAAGUAGAAGACACGAGAUGAACGCCAAAAGACAAAUCGAAACCCUAGAAGCUUCCCCGAAUCAGAAACUCAUUUGGAGCAGCACAAACCAACCCACGAAGAAAUAUGUAACUAUUGUACUCAAAAUGUCCACCACAGCGUUGAUUCUGCAAACCAACUAACGAUUAUCCCAUUUUCUCCUAUUUCAAACAUAUAAUCCUACCAAUCAAUUUAGCUUUACUAGCCAACAAAUGAAAGAUUAGAAAUAUAAUUUGUACCUUAUCUCUGAGAUAAAAUUUGGGUGGUGCCAACAUCGCCAAUACAACCACAAGCAUAACCAAUGAUCCUUGUUGUCUCUAGAUGUUCACCUUUUGCUCGAGUCAAAACUACUAUUGCUGCAACAAUUUGGACCAAACUCACAGCAAACUCGAUCGAGUUCCAAAAACGUUCUUGUGUACAUGGAUGACACGAUUGAACAACCUUAAGUGGUGUUUGCUCAUCAGUUGAUGAAGAAUCGCCAAUGAUUGUGAUAUGACCACUCUUGCUCAACAAAGGGCCUUUCAUUGAUCUCUUCUAUUUCUCAUCCAAAUCCAGCCAAAAGUCUUGAAAACACACAAAUCAUUUUAGAACUUUUCAAUUCUUUGGUGCUAAG